rnacentral:tRNA from 1 species
GGCCCCUUAGCUCAGUGGUUAGAGCACGCGACUCAUAAUCGCUAGGUCGCUGGUUCAAAUCCAGCAGGGGCCA